UCGAGAAUCUUUCACAAUGGGGGCAACCCUGAUGGAGCGACGCCGCGUGGAGGAUAAGGUCUUCGGAUUGUAAACUCCUGUCAUGCGAGAGCAAGGUGGCGCGGAUAAUACCCGCGUUAUUUGAUAGUAUCGCAAGAGGAAGAGACGGCUAACUCUGUGCCAGCAGCCGCGGUAAUACAGAGGUCUCAAGCGUUGUUCGGAAUCACUGGGCGUAAAGGGUGCGUAGGCGGUUUGGCAAGUCAGAUGUGAAAGGCGGGGGCUCAACCCCUGGACUGCAUCCGAUACUGCCGGACUAGAGAGCUGGAGAGGAGUCUAGAAUUCUCGGUGUAGCAGUGAAAUGCGUAGAUAUCGAGAGGAAUACCAAUGGCGAAGGCAGGACUCUGGACAGUUUCUGACGCUG
rnacentral:rRNA from 1 species